rnacentral:lncRNA from 1 species
GUUAAGAGUUAAAGUAAAAAGAGCAGAGAAAUGGUUAGAGGAGAACAAUAUAAUAUGCGCAAGGGACGAUAAGAGCAAACUAAUAGUUUUAUUGAAAAAAGAAACAUAUGAUACAUUUAUAAAGAAUUUUUUGGAAGAGAAUAAAAGUCAAAACAAUUAGAUAAGGACCCAACUGAAAACAUUGAUAGAGAGGUAUAUAGAAUAUUGAAAGAUAAAAAGCUCCCAAACUUCCUAAAAGGCAGCAUCAAUUAAGUCACCUAAAUGACCUAGGCUGUUUGCCCUUAUCAAACGGCAGAAAGAUCCAAUUCAAGUGAGACCAGUAAUGGAAAGAUUCACAGCGCCUAUGUACAGUUUUGAAAAGAGAUUGGCUAAAUGGGCAUAUGAAAAGUUAAAAGGUUACCAAUACACAACUUCCUCCUCUAAAGACCUUAUUGAUAAAAUAUUAGAAGUAGGACCAUUACCAGAACAAAUAAUGCAAGUAUAUGACUUUAAAUUGUUAUACCCUUCAAUAAAACUAGAACUGGCA